rnacentral:rRNA from 1 species
UACGGGGGGAGCAAGCGUUGUUCGGAUUUACUGGGCGUAAAGGGCGCGUAGGCGGCCUUCUAAGUCAGACGUGAAAUCCCUCGGCUCAACCGGGGAACUGCGUCUGAGACUGGAAGGCUUGAAUCCGGGAGAGGGAUGUGGAAUUCCAGGUGUAGCGGUGAAAUGCGUAGAUAUCUGGAGGAACACCGGUGGCGAAGGCGGCAUCCUGGACCGGUAUUGACGCUGAGGCGCGAAAGCCAGGGAGC